GUGCCCUCUGACCCCCAUCUCAGUGCCCCUCUGACCCUCAUCUCAGUGCCCCUCUGCCCCCCAUCUCAGUGCCCCUCUGACCCCCAUCUCAGUGCCCCUCUGACCCCCAUCUCAGUGCCCCUCAGACCCCCAUCUCAGUGCCUCUCUGACCCCCAUCUCAGUGCCCUCUGACCCCCAUCUCAGUGCCCUCUGACCCCCAUCUCAGUGUCCCUCUGACCCCCAUCUCAGUGCCCCUCUGACCAUCUCAGUGCCCCUCUGACCCCCAUCUCAGUGCCCCUCUGACCAUCUCAGUGCCCCUCUGACCAUCUCAGUGCCCCACUGACCCUCUCAGUGCCCUCUGACCCCCAUCUCAGUGCCCCUCUGCUCAUCUCAUGCCCCUCUGACCCCCAUCUCAGUGCCCUCUGACCCCCAUCUCAGUGCCCCUCUGACCCCCAUCUCAGUGCCCUCUGACCCCCAUCUCAGUGCCCUCUGACCC
ensembl:lncRNA